GAUGAAGAACGCAGUGAAAUGCGAUAAGUAGUGUGAAUUGCAGAAUUCAGUGAAUCAUCGAAUCUUUGAACGCACAUUGCGCCCCUUGGUAUUCCAUGGGGCAUGCCUGUUCGAGCGUCAUUUGUACCUUCAAGCUCUGCUUGGUGUUGGGUGUUUUGUCUCGCCUCUGCGUGUAGACUCGCCUUAAAACAAUUGGCAGCCGGCGUAUUGAUUUCGGAGCGCAGUACAUCUCGCGCUUUGCACUCAUAACGGCGACGUCCAAAAGUACAUUUUUACACUCUUGACCUCGGAUCAGGUAGGGAUACCCGCUGAACUUAAGCAUAUCAAUAAGCGGAGGA
rnacentral:misc_RNA from 1 species